GCUGAUACAUUAAAGUUAAGGUAAAAAUUCUUUGAUGUUCUAGGGGACGAUAAAACCCUAAAAGCUUUAAAAAAUUAAAAUUUUUAGUAGUGGUAUUGAUUUUUUACUGGGGCGGUAUUAGUGUUUUAACCAUUAGCAGUAAAGGUUGAUCCUUAAUAUAAAGAUAGUUCGGUGAAGUUACUCUAGGGAUAACAGUGCGGUAUUUUUGGAAAGGUCUUAUUGAUAAAAAUGUUCGCAACCUCGAUGUUGAAUUAAGAUGUCUACGUGGAGAAGCAGAUACAGUAGAGGGUUUGUUCAACCUUUAUAGUCUUACAUG
rnacentral:rRNA from 1 species